AUUGAACGCUGGCGGCAUGCCUUACACAUGCAAGUCGAACGGCAGCACGGGAGCUUGCUCCUGGUGGCGAGUGGCGAACGGGUGAGUAAUAUAUCGGAACGUACCCUAGAGUGGGGGAUAACGCAGCGAAAGUUGCGCUAAUACCGCAUACGAUCUACGGAUGAAAGUGGGGGAUCGCAAGACCUCAUGCUCAUGGAGCGGCCGAUAUCUGAUUAGCUAGUUGGUGGGGUAAAGGCCUACCAAGGCUUCGAUCAGUAGCUGGUCUGAGAGGACGACCAGCCACACUGGAACUGAGACACGGUCCAGACUCCUACGGGAGGCAGCAGUGGGGAAUUUUGGACAAUGGGCGCAAGCCUGAUCCAGCAAUGCCGCGUGCAGGAUGAAGGCC
rnacentral:rRNA from 1 species